GGUUUUUGGAAAACAUAACCAUUAGGUGGUCCCCAUCCAAAAACAGGAUGUGAACUCUUUUCGCCGUUAAGAGCAGGUUGAGAAUUUAUAGUAAGGAAAGCGUUUCUAUUCAUACUUAGAAGUUGAUCCCGAAUCAAGUCGGCUUCAUCGGAUAUGGGAAGAUCACUCCAAGGGAGGGAGCUAAUCUUUUUUUCACAGUACCUGGCAAACAAAUCGCCGAUUUCCGAGUAAGAUUUAGGAGACCCCCACGAUGUUGUGAUCUCCUUGGGAGACAUACGAAGACCAUAUCUAAUAGCAUCAAAUUCGCCAAAAGCAGGGCUACGAGAGUCACCCCAACGACCAUGCGGUAAUUCGUCCCACUGAUCAGUACGCGAGACAUAACUUUCAUUACGAGUGCGCCAGAAAAUGGGCCGUACACCUUCAUUUAUCCGACGAUCUUGACUGGAAGCAUUGGUUAACUCGACGUUAUUAGUAUCCACUAUAGGAGCCAAGUUUUCAUCUAAUAAACCUAAUCGUUCAAUAAUCAUUUUAACGGCCUUUUCUAAAUUCAUAGUGUAAAAAUGAAGUCUCGUAAUGCCACUAGCUAUAAGCUUACGGCACAUUUCGACUAUGAGCUCAACACCACGCUCACGGACUCCUUCAUCAUCGUCUUUAACUGGGACUAGAGUAUCCAUAAAAUGCUGGGGAAUUUUAACACCGCUCCAUUUCGCUCUCCGAAUAAAGGAAUCCCAUGCCUGAAUAGGCAUAA